CCCUCACUUUUACUGUACAUGUAGGUAAGAUAGUUUGAUAGAUUGCCAGACAAUAUUACAAGUGUGUUUUUGUUUUCACAAUCUUUAUUGUUUUUUAAGGAAGCCUGCAAUAUUGUUACAAUAUAGCACCAAUUUAAAAGUCCCUGAAAAUUUGAUGGGUUUGAUUUUUUAAGGUGGUACCUAACACUACAGGGAGAUAACUCUUUAAAAUCAGCUAAACGUUUUAAUUACGUUGUGUUGUUAAGGGAAUAUUAAACUUCUCAAUGAUCAAAAUAAGUGUUUGUCAAACUGCUAUAUAACCAGUGUAAUUUUUCUGAUAAAAUGGUUGGUUCAAAGCUUUUGAAAUUUUGAAAUUUUUGUCAAAGGGUCAAAGUAAAUACUUUGUCCAUAUUUUAUGAAAAUUAAACGAGCCAAAUUAAUUUUAGUGAAAGUGUUGGGUACCACCUUAAAAGCUGUUAAAUUAGGCUGGGUAGAAUUCUAACAUGAAAAUUUUUAUUGACAACACAAACUUCAUAUUGUAGUAUAUUUUAUAACCAAUGUGCAUACAUAUAUCUCAUAAAAUAGAGAUUUCAUUCUUUAAUUCAUAUAAAAUAUAGCUACAGGGAUUGUUUUUAAUUUUUUUUAUAAUCCAAUUU
rnacentral:lncRNA from 1 species